rnacentral:lncRNA from 1 species
GUCUAGUAGGAGUAGUUACCUCAAGGAUAUUCUCAGGAGAUUGGUCUGUUGGUACUAUUGAGUUAGAGGGGGGUCUUCAUCUUGUUGUUCUGUAUUGUCUGUAGGUGUGAGACUCGGAUCAGAAAUAUCUUCGCAUGGAUCAGGUGGGUCAGGCAAUUGAUCGCUAUGAAUGGGCGAUUGGUCGCUUUUCGACAGAGAGUAAUCUCGUGCUCC